rnacentral:tRNA from 1 species
GCCCUUGUAGCUCAGCUGGAUAGAGCGACUGCCUUCUAAGCAGUAGGUCGCAGGUUCAAGUCCUGCCAAGGGCG